GUACUUUACUGUCUUAACUCGUUUCAGCCCACGGAAAUCCCAUGAGACGGUGCUGUGACCGCUCUGACCUUAAAGAUGGGAUCACUGAGGCAGGGAGCUGACACAGUGUCCUCAGGUUCUAAGGAUACCAACUCGCUGGUAAAAUUCCUGAGUGUUGAACCAUCCUCUCAGGAGUUGGAGGAGCCAGCCCCAGCGCACCACUGGCUGAAAGUAAUCAUUCAAAUUGACUGGAGCAGUUCAGCCAGGAGUGUGUUCUGCCAGACUCAGGCCUCUGAGAGACACUGUGGGUGGAGCCACUAUGGUAACGUGCUUGGCAACGUAGAUGUCCAUGGGGAGAACCUCUGCCUAGUGGUCCAGGGGGCACUGGAGAACCCCUGCCCCUCUUUUCCCCCUUGGUUGGUGCUGAGACACCAUUCAGAGAGCUGCUCCAAGGUCUCCUGGGAUCCUACAGCAGUAUCCUGUAGCAUGGCCAACUCAGUAACACAGGCAACAGCCUCUGCGAGCCAACCAGAUUUUCUCCAAGAUGGAGACUCAGCCCAGCCAACAUUCUACCACAGAAGCGACUGACCUGGCCUGGGGGUCCACCAGCCCAACCACUGGGUGUAAAAUUCUUACUAGCCAUGAGUCCUGACACUUUCAGAGUUGGAGUUCUGGAAAUGAGAAGAGGCAAGGGGAGCAGGAAAGCUCUUGCCUGAUUGGCCUGGGCAUGGUGAUGUGGCGUCUGCUCUCUCUGGACUUGGCAGACGUUGAAAGCUGACUCUCACAGGCUCUUUUUGAUGAUCUUAACUCACAAUCACUGAGGAUCUCUUCCCUGAAGUUUGCUUCACAGGACAAAUGCUCUCUAUUCCAGCCACUCACUUACUCACUCAUUCCUUCCUCGGCCUCUAUGAAUGUGCUGAUACCUCAAGCUUCUCCCUGAGAAGACCUGUUUAUUCCUCCAUGCAGCCCUCUUGGACAGAUCCAAGACAAUCCCUCACUGCCAUAGCGGGUAGGGGGAAACUUCUCCUGUGCCCUCUUAUAUUCAGUGACCGAGGCCAGCAAAUUAAACUGACAAAGAAAAGAUUAACAGGAGAGUAGGUUUAUUUCAUAUGCAUACGCGGGACCUCACAGAAAAGAAGUGAAAAUCCCCCAAAGCAAUAAUGCCUGGGGGUUUAUGUACCAUUUUAACAAAGGACAACACAGUGUAGAGAAGAGUUAAAGGGGUUUGAGCUUCUGGGGUGGUGAAUUGGAGGAAGGUAAAUAUACAGGGGAACCUAAUGGAAGAUGAG
rnacentral:lncRNA from 1 species